CCCAUCUCAGGAUCACAUUUGGAGAGUUUCCAGUACUCUACCAGUAAUGGCUCUGGGAGGGAGAGUCAAGCAGCAGCAUACCCACUCCAUUCCUAGCUUGGCCAGUGGCUAGCAAGUGGAAGGCAAUCUGCUACAAGU